GGAGUAAUGCUGGGUAUUGUCCUAGUUGCUUUGCUCUUUUUGUCAAUUCUUGUGCAUGAAUUUCUUGCAUGAUUAUGAACAUUUUUAGUUUAAUUAUUGCUUUAUAUUUAUCUGUUUGCCUGCAUGUCAUGAAUGCCCCUUACUGAGGUAGUGGGCAACUUCUUUUCCAACAAAGAAGCAGAAUCCCAAAUUCCAUCGCUAAAUUUUGUUGAUGAAAUAUAGCUAUAUUCUUUUUAUCAUUGGAUGAUUUGAACCACUAGCAUAAAUGAUUUGACUCCUAGAGGAACUGCUUAGACUUUAAUGUGUUUCUGACAAGCAUUGGAGCAUGA
rnacentral:misc_RNA from 1 species